AUGCUCGCUUCGGCAGCACAUGUACUAAAAUUGGAACGAUACAGAGAUUAGCAUGGCCCCUGCGCAAGGGUGACACGAAAGAUUAAUCAGUUCUACAAUGGUUA
ensembl:snRNA U6 U6 spliceosomal RNA